rnacentral:rRNA from 1 species
CACGUAGGGUGCGAGCGUUGUCCGGAAUUAUUGGGCGUAAAGAGCUCGUAGGCGGUCCGUCACGUCGGGCGUGAAAACCCAGGGCUCAACCCUGGGCCUGCGUUCGAUACGGGCGGACUAGAGUUCGGUAGGGGAGACUGGAAUUCCUGGUGUAGCGGUGAAAUGCGCAGAUAUCAGGAGGAACACCGGUGGCGAAGGCGGGUCUCUGGGCCGAUACUGACGCUGAGGCGCGAGAGCGUGGGGAGCAAACAGG